UCGGGAAUUUUGGGCAAUGGGCGAAAGCCUGACCCAGCAACGCCGCGUGAAGGAUGAAGUAUUUCGGUAUGUAAACUUCGAAAGAAUAGGAAGAAUAAAUGACGGUACUAUUUAUAAGGUCCGGCUAACUACGUGCCAGCAGCCGCGGUAAUACGUAGGGACCAAGCGUUGUUCGGAUUUACUGGGCGUAAAGGGCGCGUAGGCGGCAAUUCAAGUCAUCUGUGAAAUCUCCGGGCUUAACUCGGAACGGUCAGAUGAUACUGCUUUGCUAGAGUGCAGAAGGGGCAAUCGGAAUUCUUGGUGUAGCGGUGAAAUGCGUAGAUAUCAAGAGGAACACCUGAGGUGAAGACGGGUUGCUGGGCUGACACUGACGCUGAGGCGCGAAAGCGUGGGUAGCAAACAGGAUUAGAUACCCCGGUAGUCCCUGAGCGGGCUGGCAAGGCGCAU
rnacentral:rRNA from 1 species